AUUGAACGCUGGCGGCAUGCCUUACACAUGCAAGUCGAACGGUAACGGGCCUUCGGGUGCCGACGAGUGGCGAACGGGUGAGUAAUACAUCGGAACGUGCCCGAUCGUGGGGGAUAACGAGGCGAAAGCUUUGCUAAUACCGCAUACGAUCUACGGAUGAAAGCAGGGGACCGCAAGGCCUUGCGCGGACGGAGCGGCCGAUGGCAGAUUAGGUAGUUGGUGGGAUAAAAGCUUACCAAGCCGACGAUCUGUAGCUGGUCUGAGAGGAUGAUCAGCCACACUGGGACUGAGACACGGCCCAGACUCCUACGGGAGGCAGCAGUGGGGAAUUUUGGACAAUGGGCGCAAGCCUGAUCCAGCCAUGCCGCGUGCAGGAUGAAGGCCUUCGGGUUGUAAACUGCUUUUGUACGGAACGAAGAGCCUUCUUUUAAUACAGGAGGGUCAUGACGGUACCGUAAGAAUAAGCACCGGCUAACUACGUG
rnacentral:rRNA from 1 species